UACGUAGGGUGCGAGCGUUGCCCGGAUUUAUUGGGCGUAAAGGGCGCGUAGGCGGCCACGCACGUCCGUUGUGAAAUCGCCCGGCUCAACUGGGCGGGUCGGCGGAUACGGCGUGGCUGGAGCAAGCUAGGGGGCAAUGGAAUUCCCGGUGUAGUGGUGGAAUGCGUAGAUAUCGGGAGGAACACCAGUGGCGAAGGCGGUUGCCUGGAGCUUUGCUGACGCUGAGGCGCGAAAGCGUGGGGAGCGAGUCCGG
rnacentral:rRNA from 1 species